rnacentral:lncRNA from 1 species
ACUUCAAUUCGACCUUUUCGUUUCCUAACACAUUAUAAGACUCCACCCCUAAUUCGUUGAGCCCAAACUACUAGCCCAAAAUAAUUAAAUUAAGUUAUUACUAUUAGGAUCCAUGAUCACUUAUAUUCACAAUCACAAUUUUGUUUCUAUCUGAUGUAGGACUAUUGGAGUGUCACAAACUCUUCGUGUUUAGGCUCUGACGUCCUCAUCAACCCAAUCACAUAUAGUCCAAUUUCAUCAGGCGAUGUGAAGCCGACCUUACACUUUCAAUUGGUGAACGGGCUCUAAUAACAAUAUAACAAUCCAAUUCACUAGCAAUAAUAAUUCAAUGAACCCAAACUACUAGCCUAAAAUAUUUAAGCCUAAUUAUUAUUAUUGUGAUUUAUGAUAUAUUUUCAAUUACAAUCUCAUUUUCAUCCGAUGUGGGACUAUUGGGUGUCACAUAUAGUGACAGCUUUCUUAUAUCCAACAGUUAUAUAUUCUCUACUUGUGUUAUGAUAAAAUAAGAAUAAGAAUAAGAAUCUCAAGUACAGAUAUGAAUAUUG